AGAUUUUAACACGAAGUGAGUGGCGAACGGGUGAGUAACACGUGGGUAACCUGCCCAGAAGUAGGGGAUAACACCUGGAAACAGAUGCUAAUACCGUAUAACAGAGAAAACCGCAUGGUUUUCUUUUAAAAGAUGGCUCUGCUAUCACUUCUGGAUGGACCCGCGGCGUAUUAGCUAGUUGGUGAGGUAAAGGCUCACCAAGGCAGUGAUACGUAGCCGACCUGAGAGGGUAAUCGGCCACAUUGGGACUGAGACACGGCCCAGACUCCUACGGGAGGCAGCAGUAGGGAAUCUUCCACAAUGGACGCAAGUCUGAUGGAGCAACGCCGCGUGAGUGAAGAAGGGUUUCGGCUCGUAAAGCUCUGUUGUUAAAGAAGAACGUGGGUAAGAGUAACUGUUUACCCAGUGACGGUAUUUAACCAGAAAGCCACGGCUAACUACGUGCCAGCAGCCGCGGUAAUACGUAGGUGGCAAGCGUUAUCCGGAUUUAUUGGGCGUAAAGCGAGCGCAGGCGGUCUUUUAAGUCUAAUGUGAAAGCCUUCGGCUCAACCGAAGAAGUGCAUUGGAAACUGGGAGACUUGAGUGCAGAAGAGGACAGUGGAACUCCAUGUGUAGCGGUGAAAUGCGUAGAUAUAUGGAAGAACACCAGUGGCGAAGGCGGCUGUCUGGUCUGCAACUGACGCUGAGGCUCGAAAGCAUGGGUAGCGAACAGGAUUAGAUACCCUGGUAGUCCAUGCCGUAAACGAUGAUUACUAAGUGUUGGAGGGUUUCCGCCCUUCAGUGCUGCAGCUAACGCAUUAAGUAAUCCGCCUGGGGAGUACGACCGCAAGGUUGAAACUCAAAAGAAUUGACGGGGG
rnacentral:rRNA from 1 species